rnacentral:rRNA from 1 species
GCGCACCAGGCGAGAAACUUUACAAUGUGCGAAAGCACGAUAAGGGAACUCUGAGUGCCUCCUAAGGAGGCUGUUCAGGUGUCUAAAAGCACCUGAAGGAAGGGCUGGGUAAGACCGGUGCCAGCCGCCGCGGUAACACCGGCAGCCCAAGUGGUAGCCACGUUUAUUGGGUCUAAAGCGUCCGUAGCCGGCUGGGUAAGUUCCUUGGGAAAUUUGGCUGCUUAACAGUCAAGCUUUCAGGGAAUACUGCCCGGCCUGGGACCGGGAGAGGUCAGAGGUACUCCAGGGGUAGGGGUGAAAUCCAUUAAUCCUUGGGGGACCACCGGUAGCGAAGGCAUCUGACCAGACCGGGUCCGACGGUGAGGGACGAAGGCUAGGGGGCGCG